rnacentral:rRNA from 1 species
UGAUGCAGCCAUGCCGCGUGUGUGAAGAAGGCCUUCGGGUUGUAAAGCACUUUCAGUUGUGAGGAAAAGUUAGUAGUUAAUACCUGCUAGCCGUGACGUUAACAACAGAAGAAGCACCGGCUAACUCCGUGCCAGCAGCCGCGGUAAUACGGAGGGUGCGAGCGUUAAUCGGAAUUACUGGGCGUAAAGCGCACGCAGGCGGUUUGUUAAGCUAGAUGUGAAAGCCCCGGGCUCAACCUGGGAUGGUCAUUUAGAACUGGCAGACUAGAGUCUUGGAGAGGGGAGUGGAAUUCCAGGUGUAGCGGUGAAAUGCGUAGAUAUCUGGAGGAACAUCAGUGGCGAAGGCGACUCCCUGGCCAAAGACUGACGCUCAUGUGCGAAAGUGUGGGUAGCGAACAGGAUUAGAUACCCUGGUAGUCCACACCGUAAACGCUGUCUACUAGCUGUGUGUGCCUUUAAGGCGUGCGUAGCGAAGCUAACGCGCUAAGUAGACCGCCUGGGGAGUACGGCCGCAAGGUUAAAACUCAAAUGAAA